rnacentral:rRNA from 1 species
UACAGAGGGGGCAAGCGUUGUUCGGAAUUACUGGGCGUAAAGGGCGCGUAGGCGGCCUGCUAAGUCGAACGUGAAAUCCCUGGGCUCAACCCAGGAACUGCGUCCGAUACUGGUUGGCUUGAAUCCGGGAGAGGGAUGUGGAAUUCCAGGUGUAGCGGUGAAAUGCGUAGAUAUCUGGAGGAACACCGGUGGCGAAGGCGACAUCCUGGACCGGUAUUGACGCUGAGGCGCGAAAGCGUGGGGGAGCAAACAGG